rnacentral:lncRNA from 1 species
UGAAUACAACAAAUACAUUUUAAUUCAAAAAAAUGAAAUAUAUAAAAUUGAAUAUGUAGUAUCACACAAUAUUCGUCGGUAGACACGAAGUGCCUGUACACACUAGUAAUUAUAAUUGCCCAUUAAGUUUUCAAUAUUAAAAUAACCAUGUAAUAUGCUCAAUUAACCAUGCACAUUAUGAAAUUUAAUGAAUCAGGAC